rnacentral:pre_miRNA from 1 species
CGCCACUAGGUCGCAUAACACGCAUUGUCAACACCGUGUGAUGUGACGUAGUGGUAUG